rnacentral:rRNA from 1 species
UUUUAUAAGUGGUGAAGUGGGGACGAAGAAGGCUAGGUGAGCCAGGCGUUGGUUGUCCUGGUACUUGCAUGUAGGGGGGAAGACUUGGCAAAUCCGGUUUUCCAUAACUCUGAGGUGCGAAGUGGUUCUGACCUUUUGGUACAGAGAAGUCAUUGAUGCCCGGCUUCCAGGAAAAGCUGCUAGCCAUAACUUAUAGAGAACCGUACCGCAAACCGACACAGGUGGACAGGUAGAGAAUACUAAGGCGCUUGAGAGAACUCGGGUGAAGGAACUAGGCAAAAUGGUACCGUAACUUCGGGAGAAGGUACGCCCUUUCUGGUGAUGGGAUUUACUUUCAGAGCUGGAGAGGGCCGCAGAGACCAGGUGGCUGCGACUGUUUAUUAAAAACACAGCACUCUGCAAAUUCGUAAGAAGACGUAUAGGGUGUGACGCCUGCCCGGUGCCGGAAGGUUAAUUGAUGGGGUUAUCUUCGGAGAAGCUCUUGAUCGAAGCCCCGGUAAACGGCGGCCGUAACUAUAACGGUCCUAAGGUAGCGAAAUUCCUUGUCGGGUAAGUUCCGACCUGCACGAAUGGCGUAACGAUGGCCACACUGUCUCCACCCGAGACUCAGUGAAAUUGAAAUCGCUGUGAAGAUGCAGUGUACCCGCGGCUAGACGGAAAGACCCCGUGAACCUUUACUAUAGUUUUGCACUGGACUUUGAUGAUGACUGUGUAGGAUAGGUGGGAGGCUGUGAAGUGAGAACGCUAGUUCUCAUGGAGCCGCCCUUGAAAUACCACCCUGUUGUUAUUGAGGUUCUAACUUGGUCCAGUAAUCCUGGAUGAGGACAGUGUAUGAUGGGUAGUUUGACUGGGGCGGUCUCCUCCCAAAGAGUAACGGAGGAGCACAAAGGUACCCUCGGUACGGUCGGACAUCGUACCAAGAGUGUAAAGGCAAAAGGGUGCUUGACUGCGAGAGUGACGGCUCGAGCAGGAACGAAAGUUGGUCUUAGUGAUCCGGUGGUUCUGAAUGGAAGGGCCAUCGCUCAACGGAUAAAAGGUACUCCGGGGAUAACAGGCUGAUACCGCCCAAGAGUUCAUAUCGACGGCGGUGUUUGGCACCUCGAUGUCGGCUCAUCACAUCCUGGGGCUGAAGCAGGUCCCAAGGGUAUGGCUGUUCGCCAUUUAAAGUGGUACGCGAGCUGGGUUUAGAACGUCGUGAGACAGUUCGGUCCCUAUCUGCCGUGGGCGUAGGAAAAUUGAGAGGAGCUGCUCCUAGUACGAGAGGACCGGAGUGGACGAACCUCUGGUGCACCGGUUGUCACGCCAGUGGCAUGGCCGGGUAGCUAAGUUCGGACGGGAUAACCGCUGAAAGCAUCUAAGCGGGAAGCCUCCCUCAAGAUGAGUUUUCCCAUGAAGCCCGUUGAAGACUACGACGUUGAUAGGCAAGGUGUGGAAGCGCAGUAAUGCGUGAAGCUAACUUGUACUAAUUGGCUGAUUGUCUUGACCAUAUAAUCUGAG